GCCCAAAUCCGCUAGUGUCAUGAUUCUCGCUUUGGGUGCGAGAGGUCGCGCGUUUGACUCGCGCUUCGGGCC